rnacentral:rRNA from 1 species
CACGUAGGGGGCGAGCGUUGUCCGGAUUCAUUGGGCGUAAAGGGCGCGCAGGCGGCCCGGCAAGUCGGAUGUGAAAACUCGGGGCUCAACCCCGAGCGUGCACCCGAUACUGCCGGGCUUGAGGCAGGUAGGGGAGAUCGGAAUUCCUGGUGUAGCGGUGAAAUGCGCAGAUAUCAGGAGGAACACCGGUGGCGAAGGCGGACCUCUGGGCCUGUCCUGACGCUGAGGCGCGAAAGCUAGGGGAGCGAACAGG